GUAAAGGAGAUUAAUAUGCAUUAGUACAAUAGUCAUCAAAAUUUAUUAAAAAAAAAUAAGUACCACAAAAGAAAAGAAAAAGAACCCCAAUCCAAUAACUGGAACUCAAAUUUAAAAUUUUUGAAAUUUGAAUUUCAAAUUUUUCUCUAUUAAUCCAUCAACCAAUAUUGAAAAUUUAAAAUCUUCCCCUCCCCCAUAACAUUCAUUCAAAUUUCAAAAUAGUCGGAGGAGAACGUCGACCCUCAGAGAAAGCAUCGUUGACUAUCACACCAGAGAAAGAAGAGCACAGAGGGGAACACAACAGCCGGCCCUGGACAUUCCAAUGGUGGAUCCUAUAGAAAUGAGCCACUGGAGAUAGGAGAGGGAGAGGAGAUCCUACGACACCCCAUGAAAAUCCGAUAGCCAUUAGAGAUAGGAGAGGGAGAGCAACUCAACUAGGAGGGAUCCUGCAGAACACCGACAACAGAUAGC
rnacentral:lncRNA from 1 species